rnacentral:rRNA from 1 species
GCCAGCAGCCAUAUCACCCUGCAACUCCCAGCUGGCAGCCCACUGGAGCUCAGCAGGGGUGAGCCUGGUCAGUACCUGGAUGGGAGACUCCUGGGAAAAACUAAGGCUGCUGCUGGAA